AUCACUCAGGAAGAAAUGAGGAAACUACUUCAGAAAUAUGGAAAGGUGUGUGAAGUCUUCAUUCAUAAGGAUAAAGGAUUUAGCUUUAUCCACUUGGAAACACAAACCCUAGAGGAGAUUGCCAAAGUGGGGCUGGACAAUAUGCCACUCCGAGGGAAGCAGCUGCGUGUUGCCUGCCAUAGUGCAUCCAUUACAGUUUGAAACCUUCCCCAGUAUGUGUCCAACAAACUGCUGAAGAAGCCUUUUCUGUGUUUGGCCAGGUGGAGAUGGCUGUAGUCAUCACUGUGGAUGAUUGAGGAAGGCCCUCGGGAAAAGGCAUUGUUGAGUUGUCAGGGAAGACAGCUGCUCAGAAAGCUCUGGACAGAUGCAGUGAAAGCUCCUUCCUGCUAAUCACAUUUCCUCAUCCUGUGACUGUGGAGCCAAUGGACCAGUUAGAUGAUGAAGAGGGACUUCUAGAGAAGCUGGUUAUAAAGAACCAGGAUUUUAAAGGAACAAGAGCAGUCACCCAGAUUUGCACAGCCUGGCUCCUUUGAGUAUGAGUAUGCCAUGCGCUGGAACGCACUCACUGAGAUGGAGAAGCAGCAGCAGGACCAAGUGGACUGCAACAUCAAGGAGGCUCCUGAAGCUGGAGAUGGAGAUGGAGAUUGCACGCCAUGAGCACCACGUCACGCUAAAGAGACAGGAUUUGAUGAGGCGUCAAGAAGAACUUCGGAGGAUGGAAGCGCUGCAUAACCAAGAGGUGCAAAAACGAAAGCAACUGGGGUACAGGCAGGAGGAAGAGCACAGGCGCGGUUAAGAAGAGAUACGGCGGCAGCAAGAAGAAAUGACGCAGCGACAGCGGGAAGGAUUCAAGGGAACCUUCCUGGAUGCGAGACAGCAGGAGAUUCGGAUGGGUCAGAUGGCUAUGGGAGGUGCUAUGAGCAUAAACAACAGAGGUGCCAUGCCCCCCGCUCCUGUGCCAUCUGGUACUCCAGCUCCUCCAGGACCUGCCCGCUAUGAUGCUGGAUGGAACCUUGGGAUUGACCCCACCAACAACUGAACGCUUUGGUCAGGCUGCUACAAUGGAAGGAAUUGGGGCCAUUGGUGGAACUCCUCCUGCAUUCAACCAGGCAGCUCCUGGAGCCGAUUUGGCUCCAAACAAACGUCGCUGAUACUAAUAAAGUUGCAGUGUCUAGUUUCUCAAAACGCUUAAAAGAAGGACCCUUUUUGGACGAGCCAGAAUUCUACCCUGGAAAAGCGUUAGGGAUUCUUUUCAAUAGUUAGAUCUACCCUGCCUGUACUAUAGGAAGUAUGCUGGAGGCAGAGGGCAAGGGAGGGGUGGUAUUAAACAAACCAAUUAUGUGUGGUA